rnacentral:pre_miRNA from 21 species
GCGAAAGUUCCAUGCUUCCUUGCAUUCAAUAGUAUGUUUGUAAAACCCUAUGGAAUGUAAAGAAGUAUGGAGCGAUUGG